AAAAAAUCAAGCCAAGGUUUAUUGAACACUAUUUAAAGUGUAAUUUUAUUUUACCAAGCUUUAUAGUGGUUGGUUAAAUAAUACUUGUGAGAAACUAACUUUAAUAAUUUAUAAAGCGUUUUUCUUUAGAACAUUUUUAUAAUCGAAAUAGAGCAAAACUAAAAAAACAGUUGAGUGUUUUAGUAAUGAGAGUAUUUUUAUACCAUAGUAUAGGAG
rnacentral:lncRNA from 1 species